UCCCUAAUAGCUCAAUGGUAGAGCAUUCGGCUGUUAACCGAAAGGUUGUUGGUUCGAGCCCAGCUUAGGGAG